GCCCCCCUCAAGAUGAGAUUUCCCAACUUCGGUUAUAAGAUCCCUCAAAGAUGAUGAGGUUAAUAGGUUCGAGGUGGAAGCAUGGUGACAUGUGGAGCUGACGAAUACUAAUCGAUCGAAGACUUAAUCAAAA
rnacentral:rRNA from 1 species